UGUAACUUAGCAGUUUUACAAAAAGAGACAACAGAAUAAGUAGCUUGAUUCAAAAUAAAAAGAUUGAUUCGUUGAAGUAAAAUACUUCAAGGCAGUAUCCCAGCAUGGCUGCAGUCUAGUGACUGAGACAAGUAAAAGAUAAAAGAAAAUGCAGAGAAACUAUUGCAUCAUGAUAAAACAGCACAAAUAACUCCCAUGUCAUAGUUGUCAGUCAUUUGACUGCGGCCAUGCUGGAGCACUGCCUUUAAUUGAACAAAGCGACCCCAAGACUUAUUCUUUAGCUUGAAGCUGCUUGACUCACAUUAGAAAAAGCAUUCCAGGAUAUGCUAUCAUCUCCUCCUUCGAGGUAACAAAGAAAAGUUGCAGAAAAACAGUACUGAGGUUUAAAGUUUAGUCAAUUUUACCUGAUCCGAAAACAAGAUUUGAAAGCUGGCAUUUUCUGCAUGAUAGUUGUCUAUCAUGAAAUGAAAGCAAAAUCAUUAGGAGGAGGAAUUUUUAUUAAACAAAUGGAUGCAACAUUAUUUACAUUUGAUGGAUAUUUGUCCUCAUCUUAUUUGUUGUUAACACAAAUAUCUGUCAAAUGUAAAUAAUGUACAUAAUUUGUCAUCUCUUAAAUAUAGAACUGUAUUAAACAAAUGCAAAGCAUUACAACAACUGAAGUUGCAAGGACUUCUGAAGUUUUAAUGAAUAAAGUCAUGUGAAAUGGCCGAACAGACAUGUAAAUAACUUAAAACGGAAAAAAAUGCUCAAUGAUGUUUAUUGACAAAAGAUUGCACAAAUCUAUCCUGAUUAAGAGGCCCAUCUGUUGGGGAAGGCAUGCUCUGACAUGGAAUAAAUAAAAAUUUAUAUAAGACAUUCUAUUGUAAGUGCCAGGAAACAAGAGGCUAU